UACAACGAUACAGUUCUGCAAAUACGACCUUUGAGACUAUCCUCAAAUCUGCCCGUGAAUUGCUAAAAAGUCAGCUACAUGCAACUUACAUGACACUUUUUGCCGUGGAAAAAACUAGCGUGGCGCUAUCAGCUUGGAAUAUUUUAACUUGCUAACGUGCUAGCCGACGACGAAAAAAAGUAUGUUAGUUUACCGACGUCUUGAAAUAUGUAUACGGCGCUUUUUUACUACCCAUUAGUGGAACGGCAGGCUUGUGGCCAAUAAAGAAAAACAUUGUGGUAAACCACGCUCUCUUAACUCAUAAAUUACAGUUCUAUUAAAGUAAUCCUGUUGUGCAAAACUGCAACAUUUGUGUGUGAUAUCUGUGAUAAAUUUAAAUCUUUCAAUUGCUCACAACUCAUAAAUUAUUCAGCCUAUAGUUUGCCGAGGAAGAUAGAUCGAUAUUAAUGAAGACGGAAUACUUUGCAUAAUACAAUGAAACUCGUAUAACGCGAUAAUAUAAUAUUUAAUGAGCGGUCCGCGGCGGCGGCGGCGGCGUGUUACAGACGGACUCCUGUAAGCGCGAUACUCAUUGUCAGUGGUGUAUGUAUUAUUACGGCCGCCAACUGAAUUCUUAAAGCCGAUAACGGGUUAUAAAUGCGUCGCACCUAGUUUCAUCCAUUUGCGCUUUCAUACGAUAUUCAAGAAACGUGCUGAAGUAAAGGAAAGGUCGCGGGCAUCGCGAUGGGAAGUGCCGCAAAAUCCGCCGCAGCGCGAACACCGGGCGGAGAAUAAUAGCGAAUAAAGUGAGUUAAAGUUCGUCUCCCGCAACAAAGCUAAUUUCCCGUUCGCGUGUCUCGACUGUUUCAUUCGCGCGCUCCAGGACGGACUUAUUUGUUGCUUCCGUUUCACCCCGUUUUGCACCGCGUUUUAUCUUGGGUGGGUGACAAAUAAAAAGAGGGAGAGAGAGAGAAAGAGAAAGGAGAGGGGACAGAAAGAAGGAACCACGCUUUUGACCCUCUCGGGAGUUACAUAGGCUAUUAGUGUUACGAGCGGUAAAGUGCAGUUUCCUUUCUGGCAAAAGGCGAUUUGCACGAAUUACCGAAGCGGUAAGACCAGGAAGGACGUAUCUGCAGUUCGCCAACUUCUUCUCGGGAGACGAAUGUCCCCUAACGAUCUUCCCAACGAAAAACGAUCGCUUCGACCACUUUAGAGAGUUAGGCAACACCCGAAAACCGAAAACUCUUUGGAGGCCUUAUCUUUCUUUCGACUGCAUAAGUUAAAGAUCGACAAAUCGCUGGGAUCCCAUCCGAGGAAAAUCAAGAGGCAGGGAGCCCCAUUCUACGGGCGACGAUGGCUCGACGCCACCAAUUUCGGGAUUACGGUGACAGUAUACCACGGAAAAUCUGGCCGUUUCUCUGCGCGAGAUUCAACUCGGGGCGACUCGUCACAAAUUCCGCGAAAUUAUCGUCGAAAACGCGCAGCUGAAUCUCCACCACGACCAUCUCUCCUCUUCCUUCUUUAGCUCCUUUUUUUACCCGUUGCUUUCAAUUAAAACGAGUCUCCACUAGAACUGUUCAUGUUGCUUUUUCGCAUUCGCGACGUCGCAAGUAUCUCUCGUGAAAGCGGAUGGUUUUACGCGGGAUGAUUUAUGCCUGUGCCCAUCAUCUGAUAUGAUUUUAAAGUACAUAUAUGAUUUAAAGA